rnacentral:misc_RNA from 1 species
GAAAUGCGAUAAGUAAUGUGAAUUGCAGAAUUCAGUGAAUCAUCGAAUCUUUGAACGCACCUUGCGCUCCUUGGUAUUCCUUGGAGCAUGCCUGUUUGAGUAUCAUGAAAUCUUCAAAGUAAAUCUUUUGUUAACUCAAUUGGUUUCUACUUUGGUAUUGGAGGUCUUUGCAGCUUCACACCUGCUCCUCUUUGUUCAUUAGCUGGAUCUCAGUGUUAUGCUUGGUUCCACUCGGCGUGAUAAGUUAUCUAUCGCUGAGGACACUGUAAAAGGUGGCCAAGGUAAAUGCAGAUGAACCGCUUCUAAUAGUCCAUUGACUUGAACAAUACUUUUAUGAUCUGAUCUCAAAUCAGGUAGGACUACCCGCUGAACUUAAGC